AGUGAACGCUGGCGGUAGGCCUAACACAUGCAAGUCGAACGGCAGCACAGUAAGAGCUUGCUCUUACGGGUGGCGAGUGGCGGACGGGUGAGGAAUACAUCGGAAUCUACUUUUUCGUGGGGGAUAACGUAGGAAAACUUACGCUAAUACCGCAUACGACCUACGGGUGAAAGCAGGGGAUCUUCGGACCUUGCGCGAUUGAAUGAGCCGAUGUCGGAUUAGCUAGUUGGCGGGGUAAAGGCCCACCAAGGCGACGAUCCGUAGCUGGUCUGAGAGGAUGGUAAGCCACACUGGAACGGAGACACGGUCCAGACUCCUACGGGAGGCAGCAGUGGGGAAUAGUGGACAAUGGGCGCAAGCCUGAUCCAGCCAUACCGCGUGGGUGAAGAAGGCCUUCGGGUUGUAAAGCCCUUUUGUUGGGAAAGAAAAGCAGCAGGUUAAUACCCCGCUGUUCUGACGGUACCCAAAGAAUAAGCACCGGCUAACUUCGUG
rnacentral:rRNA from 1 species